GUGCCAGCAGCCGCGGUAAUACGUAGGGUGCGAGCGUUGUCCGGAAUUACUGGGCGUAAAGAGCUCGUAGGUGGUUUGUCGCGUUGUUCGUGAAAACUCACAGCUUAACUGUGGGCGUGCGGGCGAUACGGGCAGACUAGAGUACUGCAGGGGAGACUGGAAUUCCUGGUGUAGCGGUGGAAUGCGCAGAUAUCAGGAGGAACACCGGUGGCGAAGGCGGGUCUCUGGGCAGUAACUGACGCUGAGGAGCGAAAGCGUGGGGAGCGAACAGGAUUAGAUACCCUGGUAGUCCACGCCGUAAACGGUGGGUACUAGGUGUGGGUUCCUUCCUUGGGAUCCGUGCCGUAGCUAACGCAUUAAGUACCCCGCCUGGGGAGUACGGCCGCAAGGCUAAAACUCAAAGGAAUUGACGGGGGCCCGCACAAGCGGCGGAGCAUGUGGAUUAAUUCGAUGCAACGCGAAGAACCUUACCUG
rnacentral:rRNA from 1 species